rnacentral:lncRNA from 1 species
GACAUCACCGAUAGGGCGUUUCUAUGUAGAUGAGGCAGCGCAGGGGCUGCUGCUUCGCCACGAAGGAUUUCCCGCGCUGUAGGAGCAAGUCCAGGACCACUGGCUGGACAUGAGAGUCCCAGCUGUGUGUUAGGGCUAGGAGGGCUCGGGGUGGUUGGGGAUUGGCUGGAGUGGUGCUGGGGCAAGUGACUGUGCGUUUAAAGGGUGAGGCGUAUGGAGCUGUGGCGGGGCGGAGAUAGGUGCAAUCUUAUUUAUGUGGCAGGGCAGAUAUUGUGGUUACUGAAAUGGCUUUUAAACCCGACUCAACUAUUUCAUUUCAAGUGUGCUGUUCUGUCAUUUUCUCUAACGUGGGAAGCUCAGCUGCGUAACUUGUAGUAACGAAGCGGAAGUUACAACGAAAAGACAAGUUUUCCUGUGCUUCGCAGGCCCCCCCUCCCCCCCCACCAAGGCCUGCAGUGGAUAGAGCCUAGCAGAUCCUGGACAAUACUAUCCUAAAAGCUACAUCUCUGACAGUGAUUUCCAGCGACUUUGUCAACACGGUCCGCCCCCAGCAAGUAUAAGAGGAAAAACAACAAAUGUCUUUACUGCCUUGUCUUUCCCCCUUGCCACUUGUCAUUAUUCAAGUUUUGUAAGUUCCUGAUUUCCAUUCAGUGCAGCUGCAAGGUUACCAGCUGUGCUUGCGUUGCAAGACCUGUCACAGUUUGAUUAACUGCCUUCUUUCUGCUUCUGUAAGCCCUCUUGCCUGCCCCGCGAGUUUCGCACCAUCAAAUUCCUGCUGCACCAUUCAAACUAGCCAACCCCCUUUCAGAAGUGUGUAUAAAAGUCAAGCCCCCUGUCUUUCUUCGGGGCUCACGCUAGGCCCGAGUGCACUCAAUAAAAUCCUUCUGUUCCACCC